AAAAAUAUUGAAAUUGUAUUAAAUUGAGAAGUGCCUGGAUACAAGGCUAGUAUUGUUAACAUCAUCUGAUACAAUCAACUGGAACAAAGCUGAAAUGGCUGCCUGACCUGACUUAAAAAUUGGAUGGCAGUACAUCAGACUAGAAGAUUACAAGUAUUGAGGUGGACAAAAUGAAACCUGAGCCUACCAAAGCUGACAGAUUGCACAAGAAACACAUAAUUGCAGAAACCAUAUUGAGGAGCUGGUCCACCUGUAGGAAGAAUUGCGCUAUUGGUUGGAGCAGCACUAUUACCCAGCCAUACACCAGCACUUAGUUUGUCAUAGGGAGCAUUUCUGAGCAGUUAUGGAGACCACUAACUAUGCAGUUGUUGCAGUGAAACUUGCACCAGUGUGUUUUCUGUGUGGAGAUAAAGAGAUAGUGUCCAGCAAUGAAGACCCAACUCAAGAUCUGACCUUGUAAGGCCAAUAUGAAAUAACUGUGUGAGAAAAUGGGAAAAACCUGCAGUCAAGAAUGCACGGAAAUCAUCAAAAGAACAGUGUUAAAUUAAUCUUGAAUAACUUUUAUUUUGUUUGACAUAUUUAUUCAUGGUGCAGUGAAAACAUUUUUUUUUCUCAUGGUUAUUUAAAUUUAGAAUUGAUAGGAGGGAACAUCACUAUGUAGUUUCAUGUUCAUAGUCAGAUCAAAACCCAUGUACAUGCCCAAAUGAGCAUUCGAAAAUAUCAAAAUGGUACUUGUUGUAUGUAGUGUAAGUUAAUUAACAUAAUAAACAAAAAUAUUUAAUCAA